CCGAACCGCCGCGGCUCAGGCAGCGCCCGCCCUCCGCCGCUAGAGGCUGCUGCACACCUCGUUAAACCGACGCCCGCACGGCCGUUCGCGGCGGAUCUCGACGAGAUGGGGACUUUGGAGGCUUUGUCUAAGCCUGAGUCACUGAAGACCUUGGGUUCCUGCUGCCAAGCCCUGGCUGCUGGUGCUGACAACGGGCAGGAUUUGUUUCAUUAAGAAACAACCAGCUCUCAUCAUCAAAUGGUUAUUCAACACAAUUAUUGCUGUGUAUUCAAGAGCCUAAAUGUAGACCUAAAAUCAGCUCUUCUCAGUGUAAGAUGCGUUCUCCAAGCACUGGAGCUACCCAGGGGUGAUGUCCCACUGCCCGGCGCUCCUGGGAUGCCACUGAGCAGGAUGGAGGGCAGGGAACGCAGCAGCUUUCUCUGUUGGUGGUGUUCAGCACUCCCCGAGC
rnacentral:lncRNA from 1 species